GCCCAGGUGGUGAAACUGGAAAACACGUUAGCUUCAGGUGCUAAUGCUCGCAAGAGCUUGGGAGUUCAAAUCUCCCCCUGGGCA
rnacentral:tRNA from 1 species